UACGUAGGGUGCAAGCGUUAAUCGGAAUUACUGGGCGUAAAGCGUGCGCAGGCGGUUUUGUAAGUUUGUCGUGAAAUCCCCGGGCUCAACCUGGGAAUUGCGAUGAAGACUGCAAAGCUGGAGUCUGGCAGAGGGGGGUAGAAUUCCACGUGUAGCAGUGAAAUGCGUAGAGAUGUGGAGGAAUACCGAUGGCGAAGGCAGCCCCCUGGGAUAACACUGACGCUCAUGCACGAAAGCGUGGGGAGCAAACAGG
rnacentral:rRNA from 1 species